rnacentral:lncRNA from 1 species
UAUAUAUAUGGGAACUCACUUACUUGGGUUAAGUUAAUCAAUUUACUUCCUUAAAGGUAAGGGAAGUUAGCAAAUAUGACCAAAUAAACAAGAUGAAUUUUAGCACUUUCUGAAAAUUUUAUCUUCCUUAGCUAACUUCUCUCAAAACAAACAAGACUUUAAUUAAAUAAUUAAGAAAGGAAUAAUGAAGAUCAGUUUCUACAAUAAUUAAAUCUCUGCUUGUGGUUCUAUCUGCUGGAAUUCUUUCCUGGAUUCUGCCGAGCUAGCUUCCUCUAUUUUGCUGCUGGCGACAUCUUCUAGUUGCUCGCUGAAGUUCUGAUGUAAUUUUUGCCUUGUGUUCGACUUGUAAAUUGUGGCUUAAUUAUCCGUAAAACUUUAUGAUACAUGGAUAGAAGAAUCCCAU